GACGAACGCUGGCGGCGUGCCUAAUACAUGCAAGUGGACGCAAGGGAACACACUGUGCUUGCACACCGUGUUUUCUUGAGUCGCGAACGGGUGAGUAACGCGUAGGUAACCUGCCUAUUAGCGGGGGAUAACUAUUGGAAACGAUAGCUAAUACCGCAUAAUAUUAAUUAUUGCAUGAUAAUUGAUUGAAAGAUGCAAGCGCAUCACUAGUAGAUGGACCUGCGUUGUAUUAGCUAGUUGGUAAGGUAAGAGCUUACCAAGGCGACGAUACAUAGCCGACCUGAGAGGGUGAUCGGCCACACUGGGACUGAGACACGGCCCAGACUCCUACGGGAGGCAGCAGUAGGGAAUCUUCGGCAAUGGACGAAAGUCUGACCGAGCAACGCCGCGUGAGUGAAGAAGGUUUUCGGAUCGUAAAGCUCUGUUGUAAGUCAAGAACGUGUGUGAGAGUGGAAAGUUCACACAGUGACGGUAGCUUACCAGAAAGGCG
rnacentral:rRNA from 1 species